GAGUACGGCCGCAAGGCUGAAACUUAAAGGAAUUGGCGGGGGAGCACUACAACGGGUGGAGCCUGCGGUUUAAUUGGACUCAACGCCGGAAAACUCACCGGGGGCGACAGCAAUAUGUAGGUCAGGUUAAAGGUCUUACCUGAAUCGCUGAGAGGAGGUGCAUGGCCGUCGUCAGUUCGUACUGUGAAGCAUCCUGUUAAGUCAGGCAACGAGCAAGACCCGUGCCCACUGUUACCAGCAUAUCCUUUAUGGAUGAUGGGGACUCUGUGGGGGCCGCUGCUGCUAAAGCAGAGGAAGGUGCGGGCUACGGUAGGUCAGUAUGCCCCGAAUCUCCCGGGCUACACGCGGGCUACAAUGGUUGGGACAAUGGGUAUCUACUCCGAAAGGAGUUGGCAAUCUCUUAAACCCAAUCGUAGUUCGAAUUGAGGGCUGUAACUCGCCCUCAUGAAGCUGGAAUCCGUAGUAAUCGCGUUUCAACAUAGCGCGGUGAAUCUGUCCCUGCUCCUUGCACACACCGCCCGUCAAACCAUCCGAGUGAGGUAUGGGUGAGGGCACGAACUUAGUGUCGUGCUCGAACCUAAAUUUCGCAAGGAGGGUUAAGUCGUAACAAGGUAGCCGUAGGGGAAUCUGCGGCUGGAUCACCUCCU
rnacentral:rRNA from 1 species